AGCGAACGCUGGCGGCAGGCCUAACACAUGCAAGUCGAACGAUCCUUCGGGAUAGUGGCGGACGGGUGAGUAACACGUGGGAACGUGCCCUUUGGUUCGGAACAGCUCAGGGAAACUUGAGCUAAUACCGAAUGUGCCCUUCGGGGGAAAGAUUUAUCGCCAUUGGAGCGGCCCGCGUCUGAUUAGCUAGUUGGUGAGGUAAUGGCUCACCAAGGCGACGAUCAGUAGCUGGUCUGAGAGGAUGAUCAGCCACACUGGGACUGAGACACGGCCCAGACUCCUACGGGAGGCAGCAGUGGGGAAUCUUGCGCAAUGGGCGAAAGCUUGACGCAGCCAUGCCGCGUGAAUGAUGAAGGUCUUAGGAUUGUAAAAUUCUUUCACCGGGGACGAUAAUGACGGUACCCGGAGAAGAAGCUCCGGCUAACUUCGUGCCAGCCGCCGCGGUAAAAC
rnacentral:rRNA from 1 species